CACAUUUGGUCUUUUAUCCUUAUUUUAGAUUUCAAGUUAAUCCCUUAUAUUUUAAAAAUUUUAAAUUGGUCUCUUAUUUUUUUCUUCCGUUUAAUAAGCUAGUCCCUCCCAUCAAUUUUUCGACUAAUGCCAUUAAACGUCGACACAUAGCAAAUGGAAAACACACUACAAAAAAUUUGACUUAUAACAACGGCAAAUGUCCGUGGGUAAAAGUCACACAGCUUCAAAAUCACUUUUUUGCUACGGUGGUGCAUCCCCGAUAAAGCUUGUGCUUGGAAUCAGACAAAAUAAGAGUAUGACAGAACCGAGUAAGAGCCAUAGCCUUCGACUUGCGGUGGUUGUUGUUUUUGUUGUGAGUGUGAAUCUUCAAUAGCGAUGAUUUUGGGUUCCGUGAAUGAAUAUUUGAGAUGGAAUGAAAUUGAUUUGGUUUCAAUUUUUUGGUCAGCUAUGGUGGGAAUAAGAAGAUUAGAAAAGGGUUCUCGAUUGUGUGAUUAUCCUUUGUGUGGGCUAUUUGGAACGUUAUAAUUUCUGCGUGUUGCUGAUGUUUUGUUUGUGUGCCUGUAUUUACUGUUUGGCCUUUGUUGUACUGCUAUGCUUUUUGUUUAUGCUUCUGUCAUGGUUGUAAUUGGGCCAUAUGUUGUUUGGCUUCUUGGUAGUUAGUAACCAGGGUGUUUUCAGAAAAUUUCUCAUCCCACCUACCCACUUUCUCAAGACACCCCUGGAAAUUCCAUUUUUGCC
rnacentral:lncRNA from 1 species